CGUGACUCAGAUAAUGGAACGGGGAACCCGACAAAGCGUUCCCUAUCGCCGGGUUCUUCAAGCAAUCCAAAACUAUGAUAUCCUUUUAGAACGAAGAUGAUAUCAUAGUUUGGGUAUUUGCCAGAACCGAAAGGGGGUAGAGGGGAAGGGGAUGACCCGAAAGUACCAGUUGUCGUUGGCAAGCAGCAUGGGAAGGGGGUAGGCUAAGAUAACUCAAGUGGGAGAGCCGUGU